GACGAACGCUGGCGGCGUGCUUAACACAUGCAAGUCGAACGGAAAGGCCCCCACUUUUUUGGUGGGGGUGCUCGAGUGGCGAACGGGUGAGUAACACGUGGGUGAUCUGCCCUGUACUUCGGGAUAAGCUUGGGAAACUGGUUCUAAUACCGGAUAGGACCAUGGUUUAGUGUCUCAUGGUGGAAAAAUUAUUGUUUUGGUGCAGGAUGAGCUCGCGGCCUAUCAGCUUGUUGGUGGGGUAAUGGCCUACCAGGCGUCGACGGGUAGCCGGCCUGAGAGGGUGGACGGCCACAUUGGGACUGAGAUACGGCCCAGACUCCGACGGGAGGCAGCAGUGGGGAAUAUUGCACAAUGGGCGCAAGCCUGAUGCAGCGACGCCGCGUGGGGGAUGACGGCCUUCGGGUUGUAAACUCCUUUCGUUAGGGACGAAGCCGCACCUUUUUUGGGUGUGGUGACGGUACCUUUGUUAAGAAGCACCGGCUAACUACGUG
rnacentral:rRNA from 1 species